rnacentral:lncRNA from 1 species
ACCGCAGGCCAGGGACAGAUGGGCCAGUUCAGUCCUGGCCCUUCCUGGACACACACAUUCUUUCGGGCUCUCCUCACGUCAACCUCAGGAAGUGGGCACCAUGAGGUCAUCUUGGAAUGGAACCAGGGCUCAGAGGUUACAAGCUGCAAAGUGGAGGCUGAGGGGCUCAGGACCAUACCCCACACCCCAGGCCUGUCUCCCGCACCGUUAGGACAAUGUCCAUAGAACAGACACCAUGUGGUCAAGAGAGGAGUCUGCUGGGCCAGGCUCAUUUAUGAGCCAGGCUUAUGGGUCAGGGCUCACAGGUCAACUGGCAAUGGGCCUCGUUGGGGCAUUGUUCCACUCUGACUCAGGGGUGGCAGGCAGGUGAGCAGCUGGAGGCAGAAGCAGCUCUUGCCAGGGGACAGCACAGCAGACCCAGGAGAGACAGUGACACACAGGAAAGCUGCUUCGACACAGGAGCCACAUGGAGUCUAACGCACCUUCCUCUUGUUCCCAGCCUUCGCUGAGACUCUGAGCUGGACCUCCUGGGCCACCGUCCUUCCCCCAAACCUGCUCACUGCUUCCUGCAGGGAACACUGACCCUUCACCCUCAGGGGUGGUUUCCCCCCAGAGUCCCCUGGUUCCUGUGCAAAUGGACCCAGUCCCUGGGGUCCCCUUCCACAUCCACCCAGUGAAUCUUGUCCUGGGACAGUUUACUCCCCGGGAAAGGACUGCUCAGGUGACAAAGGAGCCUGAGGCCAGCACAGACUGAAACAGUAGGGAGUGCACUGUCUGGCGGGGGCAGGAGAUGGAGAGGAUGGAUUUUCCUAGACCAGCAUUUGUUUAUUUAAUUUUUAAAAAUGAUUUAGUUUGUUUUUUCUUUCAUGACAAGGUCUCACUAAGUAGUACAGACUGGCCUUGAACUUACAGGGUUCCUCCUGCCUCAGCCUCCCAAGUGCUGGGAUGACAAAUGUGUGUCACCACACCCAGCCACUUCUCUCUGGUGUUUGGACAUGGUGGUGAUGCUUGAUGGCUUCCCCAGGCCACCCCUGCAUCUCUGCACUGCCCACUCCAUCCUGGCCUUGACUCAGGGUCUUGGCUCCCCAUCCAUGAGGUGGCAUCGCGAAGUUCAAGUUCCCAGCCCUCUGUGUGACCCUGGCUGGGAGCAGGAGCCUCCCCACAUCCACCCCCGCCCUGGAGGAAGCCAGAAUCUGGGGACAGAUUCCUGGUUCUCACAGCAGGAGGACGCCCGGAGCCAUAGACAGGCUGGCCUGCAAGCUCUCACCCACCUGCCAACAACAGCACACAUGCACCUGGCUGCUCCCAAUGCACUUGAACGCACACCUUAUGCACUCACGCACAUACAUGCCAUGCUUGCUUCAAGCAUGCAAGUACAGAGAU